rnacentral:rRNA from 1 species
GUGUCAGCAGCCGCGGUAAUACGGAGGGUGCAAGCGUUGCUCGGAUUCAUUGGGCGUAAAGCGCACGCAGGCGGUCCGAUAAGUCGGAUGUGAAAUCCCCGGGCUCAACCCGGGAACUGCAUUCGAAACUGUCGGUCUAGAGUACGGAAGAGGGAAGCGGAAUUCCUGGUGUAGAGGUGAAAUUCGUAGAUAUCAGGAGGAACACCGGUGGCGAAAGCGGCUUCCUGGUCCGUCACUGACGCUCAUGUGCGAAAGCGUGGGGAGCAAACAGGAUUAGAUACCCGUGUAGUCC